rnacentral:rRNA from 1 species
GACGAACGCUGGCGGCGUGCUUAACACAUGCAAGUCGAACGAAGUGGCGAACGGGUGAGUAACGCGUAAUCAACCUGCCCUUCAGAGGGGGACAACAGUUGGAAACGACUGCUAAUACCGCAUACUGAAGGAGGGGAUUGCGUCUGCUUAGCUAGUUGGAGGGGUAACGGCCCACCAAGGCGAUGAUCAGUAGCCGGUUUGGGAGGAUGAACGGCCACAUUGGGACUGAGACACGGGCCCGGCUCCUACGGGAGGCAGCAGGGGGGAAUCUUCCGAAAUGGACGAAAGUCUGACGGAGCAACUCCGCGUUGGUGAUGACGGCCUUCGGGUUGUAAAGCUCUGUUAAUCGGGACGCGGUACCGGAAUAGAAAGCCACGGCUAACUACGUGCCAGCCGCCGCGGUAAUUC